UAGCCUAGUCGUUAAGGCUAUGGAUCGCCAAUCCGGCGACGGCGGGUUCGAUUCCCGU
rnacentral:tRNA from 1 species